rnacentral:rRNA from 1 species
CCCGCUGAACUUAAGCAUAUCAAUAAGCGGAGGAAAAGAAACUAACAAGGAUUCCCCUAGUAACUGCGAGUGAAGCGGGAAAAGCUCAAAUUUAAAAUCUGGCGGUCUUGCGGCCGUCCGAGUUGUAAUCUGGAGAAGCGUUUAUCCGCGUCGGACCGUGUACAAGUCUUCUGGAAGGGAGCGUCGUAGAGGGUGAGAAUCCCGUCUUUGACACGGACAACCGGUGCUUUUGUGAUGCGCUCUCGAAGAGUCGAGUUGUUUGGGAAUGCAGCUCAAAAUGGGUGGUAAAUUCCAUCUAAAGCUAAAUAUUGGCGAGAGACCGAUAGCGAACAAGUACCGUGAGGGAAAGAUGAAAAGCACUUUGGAAAGAGAGUUAAACAGUACGUGAAAUUGUUGAAAGGGAAACGUUUGAAGUCAGUCGCGUCGGCCGAGACUCAACCUUGCUUCUGCUCGGUGCACUUCUCGGUUGACGGGUCAGCAUCAAUUUUGAUUGUUGGAUAAAAGUCAAUAUUUAUGCGUUUUCGGACGUGUAGCCUUUGAUUGCAUACAAUGGUUGGGAUUGAGGAACUCAGCACGCCGCAAGGCCGGGUAACUUGUUACCACGUAACGUGCUUAGGAUGUUGGCAUAAUGGCUUUAAUCGGCCCGUCUUGAAACACGG